GUGAAGUCACAAUUCCCACGUCUGUCAUGUCCCAUUGGACAUAAUACUGGGUUACCUUGCCGCUUCUUCUUUGUCACGUUUUACAAUUUUCAUUUCACUCGGUCUUCAGAACACAAUUGAAAAGCAGGACUGACUGAUGGGCGAAGACUCCCUUCUCCCUGGGAAGCUAAGGUACUACCUUGCUGAUCAGACUCUCAUCUCCACUCAUUUGGAUGACUGCAAUAGCCUCCUUCCCCAAGUCUGUUCCCAUUUCUCCUUCCCCUCUCCUUCCCCAAGUCUGUUCUCCAUUUCUGUCAUACACUUAUCUGUCCCACCCACACAAAAGAAAAUAAACAAAGAAAAAGAAAAUCAAGAAUUCCCUGUGUAUGAUCACCAACAAGAAGUCAUUCAGCCAUUGUGAAAACUUCUAAGGAAAGGGAACCUACCACCCAUCUAGGCACCCCAUUCUACUUUGGAGCAGCCCUAAUUGUUGUGAAGAUUGUUCCUGACAUAGAGCUUAAAUGAGGCAGCCAGAUGAUAUAAUGGAUGAAACACCGGGCUUGGAAUCAGGAAGACUGAUCCUCGAGUUCAAAUCCGGCCUCAGACACUUCCCGAAUGUUUGACACUGGGCAAGUCACCUAACCCUAUUUGCCUCAGUUUUUUCAUUUGCAAAUGAGCUGCAGAAGGAAAUGGCAAACUACUUCAAUAUCACCUCCAAUAUUGAUUAUGAAGAAUCAAGAACAACUGAAGCAACAAAUAACAAAGAACCUAAAUCUGCUGUUUUGUAUCUUCUAUUCAUUGCUCCUGGUUCUCCAUCAAAGAUGAAACACAAUUCUAGCUGCCUUACUACUUGAAUCUUCCGCCUGUCUUGAAAGCCCCCCAGAGACCAGUACUGGCAUUUCAGAAGGGAGAUAGAUGGAAAUAGUCAUCGCUGUGCAAGGAUACCCACAGUCA